UACGUAGGGGGCAAGCGUGGUCCGGAAUCAUUGGGCGUAAAGAGCGUGUAGGCGGCUCGAUAAGUCUGCUGUGAAAGUCCAGGGCUCAACCCUGGAAGGCCGGUGGAAACUGUCGGGCUAGAGUCCGGAAGAGGCGAGUGGAAUUCCCGGUGUAGCGGUGAAAUGCGCAGAUAUCGGGAGGAACACCAAUGGCGAAGGCAGCUCGCUGGGACGGUACUGACGCUGAGGCGCGAAAGCGUGGGGAGCAAACAGG
rnacentral:rRNA from 1 species